UAAGGAAUAUUGGUCAAUGGACGCAAGUCUGAACCAGCCAUGCCGCGUGAAGGAUGAAGGUCCUCUGGAUUGUAAACUUCUUUUAUCUGGGACGAAAACGGGAUUUUUAUCUCAAUUGACGGUACCAGAGGAAUAAGCACCGGCUAACUCCGUGCCAGCAGCCGCGGUAAUACGGAGGGUGCGAGCGUUAUCCGGAUUUACUGGGUUUAAAGGGUGCGUAGGUGGGCUUAUAAGUCAGUGGUGAAAUCUCCGAGCUUAACUUGGAAACUGCCGUUGAUACUAUAGGUCUUGAAUUACCUGGAGGUAAGCGGAAUAUGUCAUGUAGCGGUGAAAUGCUUAGAUAUGACAUGGAACACCAAUUGCGAAGGCAGCUUACUACAUAUAAAUUGACGCUGAGGCACGAAAGCGUGGGGAUCAAACA
rnacentral:rRNA from 1 species